rnacentral:rRNA from 1 species
GUGGGGAAUAUUGGACAAUGGGGGGAACCCUGAUCCAGCCAUGCCGCGUGUGUGAAGAAGGCCUUAUGGUUGUAAAGCACUUUAAGCGAGGAGGAGGCUACCGAGAUUAAUACUCUUGGAUAGUGGACGUUACUCGCAGAAUAAGCACCGGCUAACUCUGUGCCAGCAGCCGCGGUAAUACAGAGGGUGCAAGCGUUAAUCGGAUUUACUGGGCGUAAAGCGCGCGUAGGUGGCCAAUUAAGUCAAAUGUGAAAUCCCCGAGCUUAACUUGGGAAUUGCAUUCGAUACUGGUUGGCUAGAGUAUGGGAGAGGAUGGUAGAAUUCCAGGUGUAGCGGUGAAAUGCGUAGAGAUCUGGAGGAAUACCGAUGGCGAAGGCAGCCAUCUGGCCUAAUACUGACACUGAGGUGCGAAAGCAUGGGGAGCAAACAGGAUUAGAAACCCCGGUAGUCC